UCUGGGGAACAACGGUGAGGUGAACUACAGUAGGCUCCUCUGAAUCCCACCCCUCAGUCUUUUCUCUCCCUCCUCCCCCUCAGCAAAGGAAAGCAGUAAGAAACGUGUUUUUUUAUAAAUAGCUCCAGCCCCAGCUGAUUUGUAAAUUCAGUGGGUUUUUUUGUGUCAAUGACAUCACCCUCCUCCCCAUGGCAACCCCCGACGAUAUCAAAAUUGCCAGGCAACGUUGGAGCUGCUCGCGCCCUACAGGAGCAGGUCGCUGCCUGAGAUUCUAAUGGAGAAAUCCCAAAGUGAGCUGGGGUGCACGGUGGAGGAGGGGUGCGCCGCGGCCGGGGCUGCCGGGCCCUGAUCGAUUGACCAGAGGAAGGCGGGAGCGGUUGUCGCUUGCUCCGCAGCUUGAACACACCGGGGGCUCCACGGCCAGCUCUUCCUGACAGCAGCGGCAGACCACAGCAGGUGGGGGGAGGGCACUGCUCGGUUCCUGACAUGCCGGGAGCAGCAAGCAGCCAUCCAGGUGACUAAGCCGGCCCACCGCCACUGAGUCACCCACCCACCCUGGCUUUUCUUCCUUCCCCCUUUGCAUCUGAUUAUUUGGGGAGCUGAAAACUUGGAGGUGUCCCUGAGGCCCGCCCCUUCUAACUCUCCCCGCCCUACCUCGGCUUGGAGGAAAAUGGAACUCGCCCGGAAGCUGCCACUACCCCCUAAGGACAUGGAAGGCACGGAGGGAGCCAGAGGUGCCCAUGGAGAGACCUCGGCUGGCAGAAUACAAUAGCAGACAUGGUGUUCGGGCUGCCCGUGUGUCCUCUGAAGGUUCUGGGAGAGAAGGGGAGUCUAGUCCACACCGACUGGAGUCCUUCUGGGCUGCCUUUGCGCUCACCUCUCAAGGGGAUCUUUCUGUAAAAGGAAACGUGUGGCUUCCAGGGUCACUGGUAUUUGGAGAGCAAGACUGGAUUGGCAUAGGCAGGCCUGUGCAGGUAGCACCAAGCUUCUGGGCUCCAGACAAGCACCAGCCUACAGUGGGAGAGGGUGAGGCCCAGCUGCCCAGAAGGAGUGCCAAGGCCGGCAGAGGACUGGCCCUGGAAGGUCCCGGGAUCUCCCGUCACCUCCAUGCUCUAGAGAGCUGACCGCAGAAGGGAGAAAGGAGCGGAGAGAAGGCCACAGGAGGCACCAUGUUCCGCAAGAAAAAGAAGAAACGUCCUGAGAUAUCAGCCCCGCAGAACUUCCAGCAUCGUGUCCACACCUCCUUUGACCCCAAGGAAGGCAAGUUUGUGGGUCUGCCCCCACAAUGGCAGAACAUUCUGGAUACUCUGAGGCGGCCCAAGCCUGUGGUGGAUCCUUCUCGAAUCACACGGGUGCAGUUGCAGCCCAUGAAGACAGUGGUACGGGGCAGCUCAGUGCCCACGGAGGGCUACAUCUCCGGGCUGCUCAACGACAUUCAGAAGUUGUCAGUUAUCAGCUCCAACACCCUGCGUGGACGCAGCCCCACCAGCCGGCGGCGGGCACAGUCCCUGGGGCUGCUGGGAGAUGAUCAGUGGGCUGCUGACCCCGAUAUGUACCUCCAAAGCCCCCAGUCGGAGCACACUGAUCCCCAUGGCCUCUACCUCAGCUGCAAUGGGGGCACACCAGCAGGUCACAGGCAGGUGCCCUGGCCAGAACCACAGAGCCCGCAGGCCCUGCCCAAUGGGAUGGCUGCCAAGGCGCAGUCACUGGGCCCUGCUGAGUUCCAGGGUGCCUCACAACGCUGCCUGCAGCAGCUGGGUGCCUGCCUGCAGAGUUCCCCACCCGGUACCUCACCCCCUAUGGCCACAGGGAGGCGUGGGGUGAAGGUUGCCAAGCAUAGCUCCGAAGAGGCCCGGCCUCAGUCCUGCCUGGUGGGCUCCGCCAUUGGCAGGCCAGGUGGAGAAGGCAGCCCUAGCCCUAAGAACCAGGAAAGCAGCCUCAAGCACCGGCUCUUCCGAAGCAUGUUCCUGUCCACUCCUGCCACAGGCGCGGCAAGCAGCAGCAAGCCGGUCCCUCUGCCACAGAACAAGCCCAAUUCUGCUUUCCGACCACCACAAAAAGACUCCUCUUCAAACCUGGUAGCCAAGGCCCAGUCCUUGCCCUCAGAGCAGCCCAUGGGGACCUUCAGUCCUCUGACCACCUCAGAUACCAGCAGCCCCCAGAAGUCCCUCCGCACAGCUCCAGCCGCUGGUCCACUUCCAGGCCGGUCUUCUCCAGCAGGCUCCCCCCGUACCCGGCAUGCUCAGAUCAGCACCAGCAAUCUCUACCUGCCCCAGGACCCCACAGUGGCCAAGGGGGCCCUGGGUGGCGAAGACACGGGCAUUGUGACCCAUGAACAGUUCAAGGCUGCGCUCAGGAUGGUGGUGGACCAGGGUGACCCUCGGCUGCUGCUGGACAGCUACGUGAAGAUUGGGGAGGGCUCCACGGGCAUUGUGUGUCUGGCCCGGGAGAAGCACUCAGGUCGCCAGGUAGCAGUCAAGAUGAUGGACCUCAGGAAGCAGCAACGCAGGGAGCUGCUCUUUAAUGAGGUGGUGAUCAUGCGUGACUACCAGCACCUCAACGUGGUGGAGAUGUACAAGAGUUACCUGGUAGGAGAGGAGCUGUGGGUGUUGAUGGAGUUCCUGCAGGGCGGGGCCCUCACAGACAUCAUCUCCCAAGUCAGACUGAAUGAGGAGCAGAUUGCCACUGUGUGUGAAGCUGUGCUUCAGGCCUUGGCUUACCUGCACGCCCAGGGUGUCAUCCACCGAGAUAUCAAGAGUGAUUCCAUCCUGCUGACCCUUGAUGGCAGGGUGAAGCUCUCAGACUUUGGGUUCUGUGCUCAGAUCAGCAAAGAUGUUCCCAAGAGAAAGUCCCUGGUAGGAACUCCAUACUGGAUGGCUCCUGAAGUGAUCUCCAGAUCCCUGUACGCUACUGAGGUGGAUAUCUGGUCUCUGGGCAUCAUGGUGAUUGAGAUGGUGGAUGGAGAACCCCCCUACUUCAGUGACUCCCCAGUGCAAGCCAUGAAGAGGCUGCGGGACAGCGCCCCACCCAAGCUAAAGAACUCUUACAAGAGCUGCAGAGCCUGAAAGCCAAGAGCCCCGAGAAGCAGGCAGGGGGAGUGGGCCGUGUGUGGAACCCAGCCACCCAGACUUCCAGACAUCCUCAUCCCAUUCAUUGCUCUGCCGCUCUCAUAACAGGUCUCUCCAGUGCUGCGAGACUUCCUGGAUCGGAUGCUGGUACGGGAACCCCAAGAGCGAGCCACGGCCCAGGAGCUUCUGGAUCACCCGUUUCUGCUGCAGACGGGGCUGCCUGAGUGUCUGGUGCCUCUGAUACAGCUCUACCGCAAGCAGACCUCCACCUGCUGAGCCCGCACCCAGGGUGCACCUGCCACCUGUGCCCACAGGCAAAGGACACUGGACAGCCGUUCCAUUGGCAAGGCCUACCCGCCUUGCCCUCUCAGUGUUCUCUCCAAAGAUCGAAUGUGAAGCUCCGCACCUUCCCUCCUGCCCUUUUGCCCGCUGGGCCAGGCCGGACCUGCCCCCCUUGGUUUCACUCCCCAGAGUCCCAGUUGCCUUUGGGAUGACAGUGACCCCUUCUGCAGGUUUGGCCCUUUGUUAUUUGCACAGGGAUGUUUCUAAGAAACGCGGAGAGUGGUGCUCUUGGCCGCAAGCCAGCAAAGCCGACAGGCUGCUGCAGAUUUUUAAAGGCAGUGUCCACAGUGACCUGGGGCAACCAAGAGGGUGCAUGCUCCAUCUCCACAUGGACACUUGCUAUUCUCAACUGAAGCUUCAAACCCUGGAGUCCCAGAGGGCCACGGGGAAGGAUUUCGCUGCCUGAAUCCUUCUUCCUCCUCUGGUCUGACUUCUGGAAGCCCCACUUGCACCUGUUUCCUGUCUGUUCCCUGGCACUGCCUCGCCCUAGAAAACCUCUACGGAACUGUGAAUAGCCUGUGUGUAGACCAUGAGAGCAGCCAGGGGGGAAUCUUCUGAGAGAGAGUGGGGUUGGCAGUAAACGUGGUUCCAUUGUCCAGGAUGUAGAGAACAUUCUCUCUCUCUCUCUCUCUCUCUCUCUCUCUCUCUGUGUGUGUGUGUGUGUGUGUGUGUGUGUGUGUGUGUAAACUUCCCCCAGUGGCCCAGGUCCUUCCAGUCACCCACAGAGAGCCUCAGAAGAGCUGUCCACCUCUUUUCUACCAAGCUCCAUUCUGAAGGAAUCUGCUUUUUGGACCUGGCUUUCUGCCUCUCAAGUCUCAUGUUAUUACCUAAACAGGGAAGGGGUGUGUGUAUGUCAAGUCUAACACAUGCUGGGGGCCCUCAAAGUUUCUGAGUUUCUCCCAUACUGAGGCAGGAAUAGUAAGGGAAUAAACUUUGUUUUACCUGUCAGCAACUUCUUAGCGGCCAGAUCAGGGACCCCUCCUUUUCAGAACCCUGGGCUGGGACAGAAAGGUGAACCACCUCCCGGAGGGGGUCCCUCAUGCCGAGCGAGGGAUGGGCACCUCCUCUGUGAGCCUGCUGCCCCAGCUGUCCUGUUGAUACUUCCCUGCCUCCUUGACCUCCCUCCCUUCCCACCUUCCUGGCUGUUGUGAGACAGGGAAUGCCAAGGAAGAACUCUAGUGUCUGGACCCGAUCCAGAUAAUAUUUUUAGACUCCUCUGUUCCCUGAUGACCUGCAUUAGGGCAAAAAAAAAAAAAAAUUGCAAGGUCUUUUUUUUUUUUUUAAGGGUCAGAGUUUUAAAAAAACAAAAGCAUCCUUCCCUAGACAUUUUUGUGACUUGUUUGCACUUGUGCCUGUUUUAAAUUAAACUAAAUGUUCGAA